GCUUAACACAUGCAAGUCGAGCGCGAAAGCACUUCGGUGUGAGUAAAGCGGCGGACGGGUGAGUAACGCGUAGGAAUCUACCUAGUAGUGGGGGACAACUCGGGGAAACUCGAGCUAAUACCGCAUACGCCCUACGGGGGAAAGCGGGGGACCUUCGGGCCUCGUGCUAUUAGAUGAGCCUGCGUUGGAUUAGCUAGUUGGUGGGGUAAAGGCCUACCAAGGCGACGAUCCAUAGCUGGUCUGAGAGGAUGAUCAGCCACACCGGGACUGAGACACGGCCCGGACUCCUACGGGAGGCAGCAGUGGGGAAUAUUGCGCAAUGGGCGAAAGCCUGACGCAGCCAUGCCGCGUGUGUGAAGAAGGCCUUCGGGUUGUAAAGCACUUUCAAUUGGGAGGAAAGGCUCACGGUUAAUAACCGUGAGCUGUGACGUUACCUUUAGAAGAAGCACCGGCUAACUCCGUGCCAGCCGCCGCGGUAAUA
rnacentral:rRNA from 1 species